AGGACGAACGCUGGCGGCGUGCUUAACACAUGCAAGUCAAGCGGAAAGGCCCUUCGGGGUACUCGAGCGGCGAACGGGUGAGUAACACGUGGGCAACCUGCCCCUAGCUCUGGGAUAACUCCGGGAAACCGGGGCUAAUACCGGAUACGAUCUUCCAUGGCAUCUCGGAAGAUGGAAAGUUUUUCGGCUAGGGAUGGGCCCGCGGCCUAUCAGCUUGUUGGUGAGGUAACGGCCCACCAAGGCGACGACGGGUAGCCGGCCUGAGAGGGCGACCGGCCACGACUGGGACUGAGACACGGCCCAGACUCCUACGGGAGGCAGCAGUGGGGAAUAUGCGCAAUGGGCGAAAGCCUGACGCAGCGACGCCGCGUGAGGGAUGGAAGGCCGUUCGGGUUGUAAACCGUCUUUCAGCGAGGGACGAAGCGAGAGUGACGGUACCUGCAGAAGAAGCACGCAACUCGUGCAGCAGCCGC
rnacentral:rRNA from 1 species